rnacentral:rRNA from 1 species
UUGCUCUUCAACGAGGAAUGCCUAGUAGGCACAAGUCAUCAGCUUGUGCCGAUUACGUCCCUGCCCUUUGUACACACCGCCCGUCGCUACUACCGAUUGAAUGGCUCAGUGAGGCCUUCGGACUGGCCCAGGGAGGUUGGAAACGACCGCCCAGGGCCGGAAAGUUGGUCAAACUCGGUCAUUUAGAGGAAGUAAAAGUCGUAACAAGGUUUCCGUAGGUGAACCUGCGGAAGGAUCAUUAACGCGCAGGCCGCAGACGGCCCGCCCCCGGGUGCGUCCGAGGGCGGUGCCGCCGGCCACACGCCCAUUCUUGUCUAUCUACCUGGUUGCCUCGGCGGGCCGCGCACUCGUGCCGCCCGGGGAUGUUUAUCUCCCUGGACCGCGCCCGCCGGAGGAGCGAUUAAAAUCCAUGAAUACUGUUCAGUCUGAGCGUAAGCAAGUGAAAUCAGUUAAAACUUUCAACAACGGAUCUCUUGGUUCCGGCAUCGAUGAAGAACGCAGCGAAAUGCGAUAAGUAAUGUGAAUUGCAGAAUUCCGUGAAUCAUCGAAUCUUUGAACGCACAUUGCGCCCUCUGGUAUUCCGGGGGGCAUGCCUGUUCGAGCGUCAUUUCAACCCCUCAAGCCCGGCUUGUGUGAUGGACGACCGUCUCGCCCUCCCCGAUCCCGGGGAGGGGGACGCGUCCGAAAAGCAGUGGCCAGGCCGCGAUUCCGGCUCCUGGGCGAAUGGGCAACAAACCUACGCCUCUAGGACCGGCCGGCUCUCUGGCCUAGUUUCCGUUAGGGAUGAACUUCCCUACAAUUCAGGUUGACCUCGGAUCAGGUAGGGAUACCCGCUGAACUUAAGCAUAUCAAUAAGCGGAGGA